GAUGAACGCUGGCGGCGUGCCUAAUACAUGCAAGUCGAGCGAACGGACGAGAAGCUUGCUUCUCUGAUGUUAGCGGCGGACGGGUGAGUAACACGUGGAUAACCUACCUAUAAGACUGGGAUAACUUCGGGAAACCGGAGCUAAUACCGGAUAAUAUUUUGAACCGCAUGGUUCAAAAGUGGAAGACGGUCUUGCUGUCACUUAUAGAUGGAUCCGCGCUGCAUUAGCUAGUUGGUAAGGUAACGGCUUACCAAGGCAACGAUGCAUAGCCGACCUGAGAGGGUGAUCGGCCACACUGGAACUGAGACACGGUCCAGACUCCUACGGGAGGCAGCAGUAGGGAAUCUUCCGCAAUGGGCGAAAGCCUGACGGAGCAACGCCGCGUGAGUGAUGAAGGUCUUCGGAUCGUAAAACUCUGUUAUUAGGGAAGAACAUAUGUGUAAGUAACUGUGCACAUCUUGACGGUACCUAAUCAGAAAGCCACGGCUAACUACGUG
rnacentral:rRNA from 1 species